rnacentral:rRNA from 1 species
UUGAACGCUGGCGGCAUGCUUUACACAUGCAAGUCGAACGGCAGCGGGGGCUUCGGCCUGCCGGCGAGUGGCGAACGGGUGAGUAAUGCAUCGGAACGUGCCCAGUCAUGGGGGAUAACUACGCGAAAGCGUAGCUAAUACCGCAUACGCCCUGAGGGGGAAAGCGGGGGAUCGCAAGACCUCGCGCGACAGGAGCGGCCGAUAUCGGAUUAGCUAGUUGGUGAGGUAAAGGCUCACCAAGGCGACGAUCCGUAGCUGGUCUGAGAGGACGACCAGCCACACUGGAACUGAGACACGGCCCAGACUCCUACGGGAGGCAGCAGUGGGGAAUUUUGGACAAUGGGCGAAAGCCCGAUCCAGCAAUGCCGCGUGCAGGAAGAAGGCCUUCGGGUUGUAAACUGCUUUUGUACGGAGCGAAAAGGCUCUCUCUAAUACAGGGGGCUCAUGACGGUACCGUAAGAAUAAGCACCGGCUAACUACGU